rnacentral:lncRNA from 1 species
UGGCCGUCCUUCCCACAUGUUACAGUAGAAGAUACUAUAGAACUGUACAAGGUUAAAAAGGUAACGUGUAGUUUCUCCCAAGGUGUCUGCCUCCUCACCCAGAGCCAGACCUCCACCUCCUCACCCAGGGCCAGACCUCCACCUCCUCACCCAGAGCCAGACCUCCACCUCCUCACCCAGAGCCAGACCUCCACCUCCUGUCAGAAGUCCUCCAGAACAGUGAACCUCAGAUGCAGGAGGUGGGGUGUGUUGCGUCCCCAGGUGAUUUACUGCUGAGACCAACUGUUUGUAACCAGACCAAGAAUCCAUGGCUGAAGGAGCUGAUGGAGGAGCCGUGCUGAAGGAGCCGAUGGAGGAGCUGAUGGAGGAGCCGUGCUGAAGGAGCUGAUGGAGGUGUCGUGCUGAAGGCCCUGCCUGGUGGAGGAGCUGGUGGAGGCCCUGCCUGGUGAA